GUAAUUUCAUUCCAAGUCCCCCUGCAGGCAUCUCCAUAAACGCUUAUUGCAGUUAUGUUAUCGCUCUGUGAGAGCAAUCACAUGACCCCUGGGGUACUGAUUCAGCAGGGGGUACUGCCUAGGCUGUCAGGCAGUCCCUCCAAAGCUGAUCACGGUGGAGGAAAGUGCCAGGCAGGCUCAGUGGCUGAAAGCCGUUAGAGUGUUUAAUGCCGCCGCAGUGGCUUUAAAACCUAUUAUAAUGGAGAUGGCAUGGAACGCCGUUACAGCGUUAAGGGGUUCAACUUAUAUUUAUUGGUACCUCCAAAAUAUGCAACACAUACAUACAAUACAUACACACAGACUGCUGAAUACAUUCACAGACUGCUGAAUACACACAGACUGCUGAAUACACAUAGACAGACUGCUAUACACAUACAGAGUGAUGAAUACACAUACAGCAUGCUGAAUACACACAGAUUGCUGAAUACGCACAGGCUGCUGAAUACGCACAGGCUGCUGAAUACACACACAUACUGCUAAUCACACACAGAUUGCUGAAUACACAUAUACUGAUAAAUAUACACACACAGACUGCUAAAUACACUCAGACAGGCUGCUGAAUAUACACACAGACUGCUGAAUAUACACACACACUGGUGAAUACAUACACACACACAGACUGCUGAAUGCACACACACAGACUGCUAUUACUCACAUAGACUGCUGAAUACACCCACAACCACCCACUGCUGAAUACACAUAUAGACUACUGAAUAUAUACACAGACUGCUGAAUACACACACACACAUACACACACACCCACACCCACACACACAACGUGCUGAAUACACACAAAGACUUCAGUAAGGGGUGCAAUGUGUGCAGAGGUACAUAGGGUCUAUCUUGUGUGUGGGGGUGGAGUGAGAUGCACACUGUACAUAUUUUUAUUUAAAAAGGAAAAAAACUUUUUUUUAUGUCUCCCCACCCUUCUUACCCUUAUCCAGGGGGGAGGGACAUUGCACUGCCUGGUGGCCUGGUGGUGGCGCGUGAACAGACGGCAGAUUGAAUUUACCCUUCCUGCAAAGUGAGCACUGUAUGAGAGUAUUGACAUUGUAACACCCGGCAACGCUCCAAACGACUUACUUGCGGGACUAAGAUUCAGCCUCCCUGCUCCUAACUCCCUCUGCUGCUGCGAAGUGCCAGGAGGCCGGUGAGGGAGAUCUUUGCUCUCCCCACUGACCCAAGUGGGCAGAAAUCGAGGAUGGCACUGCAUGGUCUAGUAGGGAAUAUAAAAGGAUCUCCCCUGUUUCCCUCAGCCCAUAGGCAUCUUUGAGGGGCCCCCAGAAAUCUGCUCAAUGUGCCCAUGCGUAAAGAUGGCCCUGUUAAGGGGACAGGGACAGUUCACCCAGACCACUUCAAUGAGAUAAAGUGAUCUUGGUGCCUAUAGUGUCCCUUUAUUAUGCUAAAAACGUAAACAGAACUCCUUUAACAUUUUUGCACACAAUGACUUACUUGCUAAUGUUGGUUCUAAUGGCCAAGCCAAGGUCUUUAAAAAGAGAACUAUACUUUUACAACAGUGUAGCUUUACUGCAAGCAGGCCGCAGCCAUCAAUCAAGUUACAUAGAAGUAGAAGCAAACGAACAAUCUGAUUUGGCAGCUAGGGAGAAUUAAUAAAAACAUAGCAGAGAUAAAAUAGUCUCUAUAUUAACACAGCAAAGGAUUUGCAACAAGCAUAUUUUGGAAGAAAAUCACAUAGAUCUGUUCUGUAAUAAUAUAAAGAAUGUAAAACAGAACCACAGAAUAUGUUGUUAUCCUUUGCACUCAAUGAUUU
rnacentral:lncRNA from 1 species